rnacentral:tRNA from 2 species
GUAAAUAUAGUUUAAAAAAAACAUUAGAUUGUGAAUCUAACAAUAGGAGCUUAUAUCUCCUUAUUUGCC